AGUGAACGCUGGCGGUAGGCCUAACACAUGCAAGUCGAACGGCAGCACAGUAAGAGCUUGCUCUUACGGGUGGCGAGUGGCGGACGGGUGAGGAAUACAUCGGAAUCUACUUUUUCGUGGGGGAUAACGUAGGGAAACUUACGCUAAUACCGCAUACGACCUACGGGUGAAAGCAGGGGAGCUUCGGACCUUGCGCGAUUGAAUGAGCCGAUGUCGGAUUAGCUAGUUGGCGGGGUAAAGGCCCACCAAGGCGACGAUCCGUAGCUGGUCUGAGAGGAUGAUCAGCCACACUGGAACUGAGACACGGUCCAGACUCCUACGGGAGGCAGCAGUGGGGAAUAUUGGACAAUGGGCGCAAGCCUGCUCCAGCCAUACCGCGUGGGUGAAGAAGGCCUUCGGGUUUUAAAGCCCUUUUGUUGGGAAAGAAAAGCAGCAGGUUAAUACCCCGCUGUUCUGACGGUACCCAAAGAAUAAGCACCGGCUAACUUCGUG
rnacentral:rRNA from 1 species